rnacentral:rRNA from 1 species
UACGUAGGGGGCGAGCGUUGUCCGGAGUUACUGGGCGUAAAGGGCAUGCAGGCGGUCCGACACGUUUUGUGUGACAGCGGGUGGCUUAACUACCCGAGGAUACGAAAGACGGUUGGACUUGAGGACUCGAGAGGGACACGGAAUUCCUGGUGUAGCGGUGAAAUGCGCAGAUAUCAGGAGGAACACCGGUGGCGAAGGCGGGUCUCUGGGCCGAUACUGACGCUGAGGAGCGAAAGCGUGGGGAGCGAACAGG